rnacentral:lncRNA from 1 species
GGGCAGGCCAGUUGCCUAGCACUGAGAUGGAAUAAACAUCACCCAGCUUCCUUUUCCCUCCCUCUUGAGAAGGAACGGUGAUGUCUUGAGAGUCAGAAAGAAAACAGUGACCGAAUAGACAUGAUUUAUUGAAAAAUAAGCAGGGUUCUUCUGGGAGGUCUGUCAGGCAUCUCAUCUUGACAUUCCUUCCCCAUGACUUUGAUUCCACCUUGAUUCCUGGUACUGCCACUACACUAGAGAGUCACUGAAAGGUACAAGCUGAGUCAUUUCUCUCCCAUGUCACUGUUGGAAGAAACAAAGAUAAUUUGUAUGGAAAGUAAUGUGC